rnacentral:rRNA from 1 species
GACGAACGCUGGCGGCGUGCCUAAUACAUGCAAGUCGUGCGGACCUUGUUGAAAGCUUGCUUUUAAAAGGUUCGCGGCGGACGGGUGAGUAACACGUGGGCAACCUGCCUGUAAGACUGGGAUAACGCCGGGAAACCGGGGCUAAUACCAGAUCGUUUUUUCCUCCGCAUGGAGGAAAAAGGAAAGGCGGCUUCGGCUGCCACUUACAGAUGGGCCCGCGGCGCAUUAGCUAGUUGGCGGGGUAAUGGCCCACCAAGGCAACGAUGCGUAGCCGACCUGAGAGGGUGAUCGGCCACAUUGGGACUGAGACACGGCCCAAACUCCUACGGGAGGCAGCAGUAGGGAAUCUUCCGCAAUGGACGAAAGUCUGACGGAGCAACGCCGCGUGAGGGAAGAAGGCCGUCGGGUCGUAAAACUCUGUUGCCGGGGAAGAACAAGUGCCGUUCGAACAGGGCGGCGCCUUGACGGUACCCGGCCAGAAAGCCACGGCUAACUACGUG